GUGGGGAAUAUUGGACAAUGGGCGAAAGCCUGAUCCAGCCAUGCCGCGUGUGUGAAGAAGGUCUUCGGAUUGUAAAGCACUUUAAGUUGGGAGGAAGGGCAGUAAGUUAAUACCUUGCUGUUUUGACGUUACCGACAGAAUAAGCACCGGCUAACUUCGUGCCAGCAGCCGCGGUAAUACGAAGGGUGCAAGCGUUAAUCGGAAUUACUGGGCGUAAAGCGCGCGUAGGUGGUUUUGUAAGUUGGAGGUGAAAUCCCCGGGCUCAACCUGGGAACUGCCUCCAAAACUGCAUGACUAUAGUACGGUAGAGGGUAGUGGAAUUUCCUGUGUAGCGGUGAAAUGCGUAGAUAUAGGAAGGAACACCAGUGGCGAAGGCGACUACCUGGACUGAUACUGACACUGAGGUGCGAAAGCGUGGGGAGCAAACAGGAUUAGAUACCCGAGUAGUCC
rnacentral:rRNA from 1 species